rnacentral:rRNA from 1 species
AUUGAACGCUAGCGGGAUGCCUUACACAUGCACGUCGAACGGAGUGGCGAACGGGUGAGUAAUGUAUCGGAACGUGCCCAGUAGCGGGGGAUAACUACGCGAAAGCGUAGCUAAUACCGCAUACUUUUGCAGUGGCCGAUAUCGUAUGAGCUAGUUGGUGGUGUAACGGCUCACCAGGGCGACGAGCCGUAGCUUGUUUGAGAGGACGACCAGCCACACUGUGCCUGAGCCACUUCCCAGACUCCUACGGAAGGCAGCAUUGGGAAAUUUUGGACAAUGGGGGAAACCCUGAUCCAGCCAUCCCGCGUUUGCGAUGAAGGCCUUCGGGUUGCAAAGCACUUUUGGCAGGAAAGCGGUACCUGCAGAAUAAGCACCGGCUAACUACGUGCCAGCCUCCGCGGUAAUAC